rnacentral:rRNA from 1 species
CGCGGCCUACGGGGGCGCAGCAGUGAGGAAUAUUGGUCAAUGGACGCAAGUCUGAACCAGCCAUGCCGCGUGCAGGAAGACGGCUCUAUGAGUUGUAAACUGCUUUUGUACGAGGGUAAACGCAGAUACGUGUAUCUGUCUGAAAGUAUCGUACGAAUAAGCAUCGGCUAACUCCGUGCCAGCAGCCGCGGUAAUACGGAGGAUGCGAGCGUUAUCCGGAUUUAUUGGGUUUAAAGGGUGCGUAGGCGGCAUUAUAAGUUAGUGGUAAAAUAUUGGGGCUUCACCUCACUACGCCAUUAAUACUG